GCUUGCUCCUUGGGUGGCGAGUGGCGGAUGGGAGAGAAAAAACGUCGGAAUCUGCCUAUUUGUGGGGGAUAAUGUAGGGAAACUUACGCUAAUACCGCAUACGACCUACGGGUGAAAGUGGGGGACCGCAAGGCCUCACGCAGAUAGAUGACCUCCACAUCGGAUUAGCUAGUUGGCGGGGUAAAGGCCCACCAAGGCGACGAUCCGUAGCUGGUCUGAGAGGAUGAUCAGCCACACUGGAACUGAGACACGGUCCAGACUCCUACGGGAGGCAGCAGUGGGGAAUAUUGGACAAUGGGCGCAAGCCUGAUCCAGCCAUGCCGCGUGUGUGAAGAAGGCCUUCGGGUUGUAAAGCACUUUUGUCCGGAAAGAAAAGCUUAGGGUUAAUAACCUUGAGUCAUGACGGUACCGGUAGAAUAAGCACCGGCUAACUUCGUGCCAGCAGCCGCGGUAAUACGAAGGGUGCAAGCGUUACUCUCAAUUACUGGGCGUAAAGCGUGCGGUAGGUGGUUUGU
rnacentral:rRNA from 1 species